rnacentral:misc_RNA from 1 species
AAGGAUCAUUAACGAAUUACAGGGGGGUUGAUGCUGGUAGUCUCUGGCUGCAUGUGCUCACUCUCCUAGUCCAAUUUUUUACACCUGUGCACUUAGAUUUGAAGGCAGGAUUUUUUUAAAGCCUGCUUUCGAAAUUCAUAAACUCUCGUUUAAAAUUAUUGGAUGUUUGUCUGCCGCAUGGCGAAAAAUGGAAUACAACUUUUAACAACGGAUCUCUUGGCUCUC